GGUUUAGACUACAUAGUUCCGGCCAGUGGGUUCUUCGCAAACUGUGUAACGUGUUCUACACCAGUGAGGUGACCGCCAAGGCGGAACACUGCAGCGGCACGGAACACCACAAGAACCUACGGUCCCGAGAGAAGAGGAGGCCGAAGCAGAACCCCAACCCACCCAGUCCAAAGGCAACCUGAUGGGCCUCCAGACACACACACAGGGAGGACGGAUCGCCAGACACACACACACACACACACACACACACAGAGAGGACGGAUCGCCAGACACACACACACACACACACACAGAGUACGGAUCGCCAGACACUCACACACCGACACGCACAAACAGAUAGAGGACGGAUCUCCAGACACACACACCCCCACUCACACAAACACACCCCCACACACACACACAAACAGACAGAGGACGGAUCUCCAGACACACACACACACACACACACACACACACACACAGAGGCGCAGUGUGGGGCCGCCUGUUGAUGACUGCUGAUCCAGCUCUUAACCGCCGACCAGGACUAGGAAUCCCUCCAGCCAUUUGUGCUUCGCAAAAGUCACGUUCUUGUCAUAACGUUCUUGUCAUAGCCCUGGGGUUGGGGGGGGUCCUUAUCAUAGAGCUGUGGCUGUGGUUAGCCUGUCAGGUUUUCGUUCUGUUAAAAAAGAAAAAAAAAAUCCUAAAAGGUAUCUUUCUGA